UUCGGGAAUUUGGGGCUCUCCCAAUCCCGGAAUUCUGGCGUUUCCCGGCAGGGCCAAGCGCACGCUGGGGCUGGGCGGCCUCUAUGGAGAGAACGAGCUGCAGCAGCUGGAAAAACAGCUGGAAAAACAGCUGGAAAAACAGCUGGAAAAACAGACGGAAAAACAGCCGGAAAAGGCUCCGGAGCCGCCGGAAUUCCGGGAACGGGAACGGGCGGCGGCCGAGCGGCAGCUGGGGCACCUCGGGGACAUCCUGUGAGACGGGAUUUGGGAAUUCCCAAUGGGAUUUGGGAAUUCUGAGGGGAUUUGGGAAUUCCAAUGGGAUUUGGGAAUUUCCGGUGGGAUUUGGGAAUUCCCAGGGGAUUUGGGAAUUCUUGAUGGGAUUUUGGGAAUUCCCAAUGGGAUUUUGGAAUUCCUGAUGGGAUCUUUGAGAAUUCCCGGUGAGAUUUGGGGAUUCCCGAUGGGAUCUUAGGGAAUUCCCGAUGGGAUUUGGGAAUUCCUGAGGGCAUUGGGAAUUCCAGCUGGGAUUCGGGGCUGGAAUGGGAAUUUUGGGAUUGGGAACUGGGAUUUGGCCUUGGGAAUGGCAGAAUUCCAGGGAAUUCCUUUUCCCGCAGCUCCAAGUACGAGGAGGAGCGGAGCGCUCCCAUGGCCUUCGCCCUCAGCACCUUCAUGGCCCACGCCGGGAUCCGGCCCCAGGAAUUCCGGGAAUUCCGGGAAUCUCGGAAUUCCGGAGCCUCCGAGAAGAUCCCGGACAAGGACAAGUGGCUGCCCUUCUUCCCCAAGGCCAAAAAGGUGGGAAUUUCCUGGAAAAUUCCGGGAAUUCCCGGGAAAAGAUCCGGGGGGAGGCCCCACGAGUCCAGCCUGGGGGUUUGGGAGGGAAUCCCGGGAAUUUUCACCCAAAUCCCGGGAAUUUUAGACCAGAAUUCCCGGAUUUUUUUGACCCAAAUCUUGGGAUUCGGGAUUUGGGAUGGGAAAUUGGGAAUUUUGGGGUUUGGGAUGGGAAUUUGGGAUUUAAGGUGGGAAUUUUGGGAUUUAAGGUGGGAAUUCGGGGUUUGGGAUGGGAAAUUUGGGAUUUAGGAUGGGAAUUUGGGAUUUAA
rnacentral:lncRNA from 1 species